rnacentral:rRNA from 1 species
CCCGCUGAACUUAAGCAUAUCAAUAAGCGGAGGAAAAGAAACUAACAAGGAUUCCCCUAGUAACUGCGAGUGAAGCGGGAAAAGCUCAAAUUUAAAAUCUGAGGGUCUUUGCGGCCUUCCGAGUUGUAAUCUAGAGAAGUGCUAUCCGCGCUGGACCGUGUACAAGUCUCCUGGAACGGAGCGUCAUAGAGGGUGAGAAUCCCGUCUUUGACACGGACUACCAGGGCUUAUGUGAUGCGCUCUCAAAGAGUCGAGUUGUUUGGGAAUGCAGCUCUAAAUGGGUGGUAAAUUCCAUCUAAAGCUAAAUAUUGGCGAGAGACCGAUAGCGAACAAGUACCGUGAGGGAAAGAUGAAAAGAACUUUGGAAAGAGAGUUAAACAGUACGUGAAAUUGUUGAAAGGGAAACGCUUGAAGUCAGUCGCGUUGGCCAGGAAUCAACCUUGCUUUUGCUUGGCGUACUUUCUGGUUAAUGGGUCAGCAUCAAUUUUGACCGGUGGAUAAAGGUCAGGGGAAUGUGGCAUCCUUCGGGAUGUGUUAUAGACCUCGAUUCGGAUACGGCGAUUGGGAUUGAGGAACUCGGCGCUCUGCGUCCAGGAUGCUGGCAUAAUGGCUUUAAGCGACCCGUCUUGAAACACGG